rnacentral:tmRNA from 1 species
GGGGCCGAUAAGGUUUCGACAUUGGUUGGAAAAUAGAUCGCAGCAUGUCGAGCACCAGUAAGCUCGCUAAUCCACUGGAAAAAAUAUAAACGCCAACGAUACGCGUUUCAAGCUAGCAGCUUAGUUCUUCUAGCCGCUGCACUAAUCUUUCCUUGGGUUAGGUAAUGCGAUUGUUUCUUAAAUGGAAUGAUUUCAUUGCUGCAGUGUCAUUUACAAGGAAUCAGUUUAUAAUAUUUUCACAUAUUUUAAACUUAAUUCUAGUGAAUCGUCUAACUAUGGCCUGUUAGUUGGCAUAUUGUUAGAUUAAAAAAAGUAAACUGACUACACAUGUAGAAGUGACUAUGGAAAACUAAUGGACGGGGGUUCGAUUCCCCCCGGCUCCACCA